CACAAACACCAGCAUAAGGAUGAUGACAAACUGGAAGGGAAUGAUUCAGGAAACAAUUUCAACAUCCUUUUAGCAUUGCUAAAGUGACUCUCCCGGAUUGUGGCGCAACAUCCAAUCAGGCCAAUGAUGAAAAGGAGAGCGCCGACAGCGAUGAUGAUCACAGCGGGGACCAAGGUGUACACAUCCUCAAAGAAGUGAUCAUAGUCAUCAUACGUAAUG